rnacentral:rRNA from 2 species
AUUGGACAAUGGGCGCAAGCCUGAUCCAGCCAUACCGCGUGGGUGAAGAAGGCCUUCGGGUUGUAAAGCCCUUUUGUUGGGAAAGAAAUCCAGCUGGCUAAUACCCGGUUGGGAUGACGGUACCCAAAGAAUAAGCACCGGCUAACUUCGUGCCAGCAGCCGCGGUAAUACGAAGGGUGCAAGCGUUACUCGGAAUUACUGGGCGUAAAGCGUGCGUAGGUGGUCGUUUAAGUCCGUUGUGAAAGCCCUGGGCUCAACCUGGGAACUGCAGUGGAUACUGGGCGACUAGAGUGUGGUAGAGGGUAGCGGAAUUCCUGGUGUAGCAGUGAAAUGCGUAGAGAUCAGGAGGAACAUCCAUGGCGAAGGCAGCUACCUGGACCAACACUGACACUGAGGCACGAAAGCGUGGGGAGCAAACAGGAUUAGAUACCCUGGUAGUCCACGCCCUAAACGAUGCGAACUGGAUGUUGGGUGCAAUUUGGCACGCAGUAUCGAAGCUAACGCGUUAAGUUCGCCGCCUGGGGAGUACGGUCGCAAGACUGAAACUCA